rnacentral:lncRNA from 1 species
ACGGCUGACGACCGCAAAAGCCGCGCCGGAAAAAAUGGUUCCGGUAUCAUCAUCGUCUCAAUCGCCGUACCCUUGCUGUUCGUUCUCGGAGUUCUGGCGAUUGCUGCCGUUUACUUCAAUAAGAGAGCCAAGUCAACUCCACCACCGUCAGCGCUCGCAGCCACCGCCCGC